GGGAGGCUUUGAAGCGUGGACGCCAGUUCGCGUGGAGCCAUCCUUGAAAUACCACCCUGGCAUGCUUGAGGUUCUAACUCUGGUCCGUUAUCCGGAUCGAGGACAGUGUAUGGUGGGCAGUUUGACUGGGGCGGUCUCCUCCUAAAGAGUAACGGAGGAGUACGAAGGUGCGCUCAGAAUGGUCGGAAAUCAUUCGCAGAGUAUAAAGGCAAAAGCGCGCUUGACUGCGAGACAGACACGUCGAGCAGGUACGAAAGUAGGUCUUAGUGAUCCGGUGGUUCUGUAUGGAAGGGCCAUCGCUCAACGGAUAAAAGGUACUCCGGGGAUAACAGGCUGAUACCGCCCAAGAGUUCAUAUCGACGGCGGUGUUUGGCACCUCGAUGUCGGCUCAUCACAUCCUGGGGCUGAAGCCGGUCCCAAGGGUAUGGCUGUUCGCCAUUUAAAGUGGUACGCGAGCUGGGUUUAGAACGUCGUGAGACAGUUCGGUCCCUAUCUGCCGUGGACGUUUGAGAUUUGAGAGGGGCUGCUCCUAGUACGAGAGGACCGGAGUGGACGAACCUCUGGUGUUCCGGUUGUCACGCCAGUGGCACUGCCGGGUAGCUAUGUUCGGAAGAGAUAACCGCUGAAAGCAUCUAAGCGGGAAACUCGCCUCAAGAUGAGAUCUCACUGGGGACUCGAUCCCCCUGAAGGGCCGUCGAAGACUACGACGUUGAUAGGUCGGGUGUGUAAGCGCUGUGAGGCGUUGAGCUAACCGAUACUAAUUGCCCGUGAGGCUUGACCAUAUAACACCCAAACAAUU
rnacentral:rRNA from 1 species